AGUGAACGCUGGCGGUAGGCCUUACACAUGCAAGUCGAACGGCAGCGCAGUAUUCGCUUGCGCGGACAGGUGCCGACGGGUGAGCAGUAGAGGAAUACGUGCCAAGCUACGUGGGCUUGCGCGGUGAAGUCGGGAAUAAUACGGCAAUACCGCUGACGGCCAACGCGGGGAAUCAUGGGAUCUUCCGCCCUUGCACCGGCCGAUGGCGGAUUAGCUAGUUGGUGGGGUAAAGGCCUAACAAGGCGACGAGCCGUAGCUGGUCUGAGAGGAUGAUCAGCCACACUGGAACUGAGACACGGUCCAGACUCCUACGGGAGGCAGCAGUGGGGAAUAUUGGACAAUGGGCGCAAGCCUGAUCCAGCAAUACCGCGUGUGUGAUGAAGGCCUUCGGGUUGUAAAGCACUUUUGUUGGGAAAGAAAAGCAGUAGGUUAAUACCACGCUGUUAUGACGGUACCCAAAGAAUAAGCACCGGCUAACUUCGUG
rnacentral:rRNA from 1 species